AAAAAGGGCUUCUGUCGUUUAGUGGCACACGUAGGGCAUCUCUAUUGCUCUACGUGCGGAAUCAACAUCAAGAGAUUUCAAAACAAAAAGUUUGGUAACCGGGCCGCCAAGGAACAAUGGGCCCGGCCCCCCA